rnacentral:rRNA from 1 species
CGAACGCUUCUUUUUCCACCGGAGCUUGCUCCACCGGAAAAAGAGGAGUGGCGAACGGGUGAGUAACACGUGGGUAACCUGCCCAUCAGAAGGGGAUAACACUUGGAAACAGGUGCUAAUACCGUAUAACAAUCAAAACCGCAUGGUUUUGAUUUGAAAGGCGCUUUCGGGUGUCGCUGAUGGAUGGACCCGCGGUGCAUUAGCUAGUUGGUGAGGUAACGGCUCACCAAGGCCACGAUGCAUAGCCGACCUGAGAGGGUGAUCGGCCACAUUGGGACUGAGACACGGCCCAAACUCCUACGGGAGGCAGCAGUAGGGAAUCUUCGGCAAUGGACGAAAGUCUGACCGAGCAACGCCGCGUGAGUGAAGAAGGUUUUCGGAUCGUAAAACUCUGUUGUUAGAGAAGAACAAGGAUGAGAGUAACUGUUCAUCCCUUGACGGUAUCUAACCAGAAAGCCACGGCUAACUACGUGCCAGCAGCCGCGGUAAUACGUAGGUGGCAAGCGUUGUCCGGAUUUAUUGGGCGUAAAGCGAGCGCAGGCGGUUUCUUAAGUCUGAUGUGAAAGCCCCCGGCUCAACCGGGGAGGGUCAUUGGAAACUGGGAGACUUGAGUGCAGAAGAGGAGAGUGGAAUUCCAUGUGUAGCGGUGAAAUGCGUAGAUAUAUGGAGGAACACCAGUGGCGAAG